UCACUUUUACGCAUAAGAGAACGAGAAACAAUAGCUUUUUUUUCUUACCUACUUAUUGGUACCCUUAGGGCAUAGGGGUGUCCCCCAAACUCGAGAACCCAAUAUCCAAUUUUAUAAUUGGUCGUCCCCAUACCCCGUCUGAUAAUGGGCGCUAAACAUUCUAUCCCCUUGAUACACCGUCCAUUAUGAGAAUGAACCAUAUCUCCCAAACUUUUUCGGUAAAGGACUUCUCAAACCCGUCCGACUGAGAUAACGUUCACGGUAGGAUUCUCUAUGUACCAAGCGCGUCCGCACUUUCCCUGGGUAAUCAGUAAGUCUUUCACAUGCAGAUUUUCAUCAACAAAUAAUCAACAAACUCAUACCAAUAUCUCAUAUCACAUUCACAGAUCAA
rnacentral:lncRNA from 1 species